UGGGGAAUAUUGGACAAUGGGGGCAACCCUGAUCCAGCAAUGCCGCGUGUGUGAAGAAGGUCUUCGGAUUGUAAAGCACUUUCGACGGGGACGAUGAUGACGGUACCCGUAGAAGAAGCCCCGGCUAACUUCGUGCCAGCAGCCGCGGUAAUACGAAGGGGGCUAGCGUUGCUCGGAAUGACUGGGCGUAAAGGGCGUGUAGGCGGUUUACACAGUCAGAUGUGAAAUCCCCCGAGCUUAACCU
rnacentral:rRNA from 1 species